GGGCCCGUAGCUCAGCUGGAUAGAGCGCCUGGCUUCGGACCAGGAGGUCGUGGGUUCGAAUCCCCCCGGGCUCA
rnacentral:tRNA from 1 species